rnacentral:lncRNA from 1 species
UAAAGAACAACAUAUAGAAGAGGAAAUCCAAUUAGUUGAUUUCGUAGGUUCUUUGUAAGUAUUUCUUUUUUUCUUUUUUUCUCUCUUCUCUGUUAAUACUUUUUGGAGGUGGCCAACAUAGCCCUUAAUGCUGAGGAAUACAAGUUACCCGUUUCCAAAAAAAAAAGAAAGAGAUUGGAGCAAGGGGUAAUAUAUAGAAUGCUCAAUACAGAAGAUUAGAAGAUUAAAAGGAAAGUAAUUACUUCCUUAGGUUUUUGGUGUAAAGAACAACAUAUAGAAGAGGAAAUCCAAUUAGUUGAUUUCGUAGGUUCUUUGUAAGUAUUUCUGUUUCUUUUUUCUUCUUUUUUUCUCUCUUCUCUCACUACAAGAAUUAUGUCUUUUAAUGACCAUUUCUUAACGAAGGGACAUAAAUUCGGUCGUUAAAAAUAUACUUUUAGCGUCCAAUUUUUUCCCUGGUCGUUAAAUCCAAUUUUUAGCUUAAUAUUAACAACUGGAUAAGAACCCAUUAGCAUUAAGAAUUAAUUAUUCAUUAAAAAAAAGUUUGCACAACUUUUUCCCUUCUUUUCGUUUUUCCCAGAUCUGCCCCCCUACGAAAAAUAGCCCUUUCUCUUUGAUAAAAAAAACUUCACCUACAUCAUUCAUCUGUAAUUCUACUACAGUGAACUUCUGGGAGAAAAAAAUCAGCAAUAUUCUUUUAUCUUCGAGUUUCUUCUCAAGGUAAGUUUGAAAUUUUUCCGUUCUUUAUAUUGAUUUUGAUUCAACUUAUCUAGGUUAUGAUUGCACUUGAAAGUAUAUGGUGAUGUUGGUGUUCAAGAAUUUGCGGCAUUAUCAAUUUCGAUUAUUCUAAUCUUGAUUUUACACUUCUUAAAUUAUCUUAAUUUGAACUUAAGAAACAAAAUUGUGUGGCAU